rnacentral:lncRNA from 1 species
UCACUUUCAUCGUCAGGUAUUAUUUUAUAAGAAAACGGUCCCUUCAACCUUGUGCAUUUUCUUAAACUGGAUUAUUAUCUUUAGCGGAUUAGUCGCGGUGGAGUCCGCCAUUAACCGUGGAUGUUGUUUCCUCCUUUUGUUGGUUGGGUAAUUGUAACACCCCAAAACCAGUCCAAUUAAAAACUUUUAAAGUCUAAUGGGUUCUCUACAGCCCAACUAGAGAGCCCUAGGGUUUUCCCCUUUCUCCACUUAUAAAAGCAAGC